GGCGGGACGCCCAUCCCCAGCGCGCACAUCCCCGGAAGGGCCCUCUGCCAACAUCCCCGACAGACGUUUUCUGCAUCUUCUGGGACCCGCAGGCUUGAGGAUUACCCGGAAUUGGCCCAGGUCCACGCAGUCCAUCCUCUCUGGCUGCAGCAGCACGAAGCCCAUGGGGUUUUACAAGGCAUCCAGGAGAUGUUUCAAUGCAUCCUGGUCAUCUGCAUUUAUUGCGUAAACCAGAGCUGAAGCCCCUGUGCGAUCCUCGAGGCUGGGGUCUGCUCCAUUCUCCAGUAGCAAGGAGACCACUUCUCCCCCAGCUCUUCUGAUGCAAGCAUGGAUGAGGGCGGUCUUGCCAGACUUAUCCUGAAUAUUGGGGUCUGCCCUGUUGUCCAGCAGAUACUUCACCAUCUUGGACUUGCUGAUGCUCUGCUGGUCCACAUGUUUGGUGAUACAUGCCACCAUGAGAGCCGUUUCGCCUUUGUCGUUGCUUUCGUUGAUAUAAGCACCCCCUUCCAGGAGGAGUCUGGUCAGCCUGAGCCUCCCCAGCCACACGGCCUUUAAAAGUGAGUUUCCAUCAGUCCUUAAUUCGGUGUUGUCAUCCAUCAUACUGGCUACAGCUUAGAGUCUCUGAGCCACAGUGGCGAUCAGACCUAGCAAGGGGAGAAGAGAGAAAAGGGUCAUGUAUUCUAUAGAGCUGAUCUGAGCAGCAAGGCUGUUAUAGACUCUAGAUACAGCCGUGUCCCAGUUUGAUCCCAAGUUAUGCCACCUUGCUUGGUUAUUUAACUUCUCUGGGUUUAUUUCUUCAUCUGUAACAUGGCAGGGGUGACUGUGGUGAUAGUGGCAAACUACCUGACUUUGUGAAGAUUAAAUGAGACAGUGUAUAUAAAACACGUAACCACACGUAAAGCGGUUGGCAUGACGCCUAGGAGAGAGCAAGCAAUAAAACGUGCAAAGCUCUUACUGGGUUGACUGCAUGACACUUAUCACAAAUGCAGUUUUGUGCUAACAGAAACUUUGUUUUCUGUCUGUCGGCCUCACUAAAGUCUAAGUUUCCAUAAGGAAAGGUCUGAGUCUAUCUUGUUCACUGUUGUAGCCUCAGCAUUUAGCAAUGAGUCACACUUAAUAGGUUACCUCAUAAAUAAUGGUUUAAUGCAGUGUAGUUCUAGGUGUGCA